rnacentral:rRNA from 1 species
UACGUAGGGUGCGAGCGUUGUCCGGAAUUACUGGGCGUAAAGAGCUCGUAGGCGGUUUGUCACGUCGUCUGUGAAAUCCCUCGGCUUAACCGGGGGCGUGCAGGCGAUACGGGCAGACUUGAGUACUACAGGGGAGACUGGAAUUCCUGGUGUAGCGGUGAAAUGCGCAGAUAUCAGGAGGAACACCGGUGGCGAAGGCGGGUCUCUGGGUAGUAACUGACGCUGAGGAGCGAAAGCAUGGGUAGCGAACAGGAUUAGAUACCCUGGUAGUCCAUGCCGUAAACGGUGGGCGCUAGGUGUGGGGUCCUUCCACGGACUCCGUGCCGUAGCUAACGCAUUAAGCGCCCCGCCUGGGGAGUACGGCCGCAAGGCUAAA